UGCAAGUCGAACGAUGAUCUGCGUGCUUGCUGCGGGGAUUAGUGGCGAACGGGUGAGUACACGUGAGUAACCUGCCCUUGACUCUGGGAUAAGCCUGGGAAACUGGGUCUAAUACCGGAUAUGACCUUCCAUCGCAUGGUGGUUGGUGGAAAGCUUUUGUGGUUUUGGAUGGACUCGCGGCCUAUCAGCUUGUUGGUGAGGUAAUGGCUCACCAAGGCGACGACGGGUAGCCGGCCUGAGAGGGUGACCGGCCACACUGGGACUGAGACACGGCCCAGACUCCUACGGGAGGCAGCAGUGGGGAAUAUUGCACAAUGGGCGCAAGCCUGAUGCAGCGACGCCGCGUGAGGGAUGACGGCCUUCGGGUUGUAAACCUCUUUCAGUAGGGAAGAAGCGAAAGUGACGGUACCUGCAGAAGAAGCGCCGGCUAACUACGUGCCAGCAGCCGCGGUAAUACGUAGGGCGCAAGCGUUAUCCGGAAUUAUUGGGCGUAAAGAGCUCGUAGGCGGUUUGUCGCGUCUGCCGUGAAAGUCCGGGGCUCAACUCCGGAUCUGCGGUGGGUACGGGCAGACUAGAGUGAUGUAGGGGAGACUGGAAUUCCUGGUGUAGCGGUGAAAUGCGCAGAUAUCAGGAGGAACACCGAUGGCGAAGGCAGGUCUCUGGGCAUUAACUGACGCUGAGGAGCGAAAGCAUGGGGAGCGAACAGGAUUAGAUACCCUGGUAGUCCAUGCCGUAAACGUUGGGCACUAGGUGUGGGGGACAUUCCACGUUUUCCGCGCCGUAGCUAAC
rnacentral:rRNA from 1 species